CUCAGAGUGGAUCACUACCUAGACGCCAGCUGCGAGAUUUUCUGAGUGUUGAUUGUCAUCUGAUUGUGAGCUAACUACAGCCCAAAGGCUCUUUUAAGAGCCACAAGCACUGAGGAUCUUUGGCUUUCCAACCUCAACCAAGAUGUCGGUUGAGCAGGAGAUGACAUUGCCUACCACACUACAGGUGAUCAUGCUAGAUAUGAGAAAUAAUUGUUGAGAAUUCUAUUACAAGAAACAAUUUAGCUGAAGAUGCCUUUGUUUUAGGGAGUAGUCUGCUGUUUGCAACCUACUGGAUGGUCAGAAUUGAGGGGAAGGUCUUCUAUGAAGCUAACCAACUUCAUAACUUUGCCAGUGCUUUCGCUGUCUUUUUCGGCUCCUUUUAUGUGUUCAAUCUGGAGUAUCAGGAGCCAGCAUCCACUACACUGGAGACGGUACAGAGAAAGGAAUUGAUGCCACCUGACACCAGUGAUCUGCUGUGAUUUGUGGAGUGGAAGUUUGGAAUUGUUUCUGAAGUGUAUUUUUAUUGUGAUUUUUUUUUAUUUUAUUUGUUUUGUUUUGUAACUUAGUUUUGUUUUAAUUAGAUUAUUUGUUUAAAAUAAAAUAUUUUGUUUGACAAAAAAGCACAAUAAAGAAUAUGUUGAUGUACAUGGACUCAAGUCACUUUUUUGGGAAUUUGUUAAAUUCAAUAGCAUUAAUGUAAAAUAUAAAUAUUAAAAUAUUUUUAAUAAAUUACAAUAA